rnacentral:tRNA from 1 species
UGGGGGAUCGUCUAAUGGUAGGACGCUCGGUUCUGGUCCGAGAAGUCGGGGUUCGAGCCCCUGUCCCCCAG